rnacentral:rRNA from 1 species
AGAGUUUGAUCCUGGCUCAGGAUGAACGUUGGCGGUGUGCCUAAUACAUGCAAGUCGAACGGAGUUAGUAGCAAUACUGGCUCAGUGGCGAACGGGUGAGUAACGCGUUGGUGAUCUGCCUUGAAGUGUGGAAUAACGUUUCGAAAGGAACGCUAAUACCGCAUGUGCUCUCGAUUUUCAGAAAGUUGAGAGUAAAGGAUUUAUUCGCUUCAAGAGGAGCCUGCGUCCCAUCAGCUGGUUGGUAGGGUAACGGCCUACCAAGGCUAUGACGGGUAGGGGACCUGAGAGGGUGGCCCCCCACAAUGGAACUGAAACACGGUCCAUACACCUACGGGUGGCAGCAGUAGGGAAUAUUAGAAAUGGACGAAAGUCUGAUCUAGCAACACCGCGUGUGCGAAGAAGGCCUUCGGGUCGUAAAGCACUUUUUGGAAGGAAUAGGAAGGAAUGUACUUCCAGAAUAAGUCUCGGCUAACUACGUGCCAGCAGCCGCGGUAA